AACGAACGCUGGCGGCGUGGAUAAGACAUGCAAGUCGAACGGGAUUAUUUCUAGUAGCAAUACCGGGAAUAAUUUAGUGGCGAACGGGUGCGUAACACGUGGGCAAUCUGCCGAAAAGUGGGGGAUAGCUCGCCGAAAGGCGAAUUAAUACCGCAUGUGGUGAGGGACGACAUCUUCCUGAAUCCAAAGCCGGGGCAACCUGGCGCUUUUUGAGGAGCCCGCGGCCUAUCAGCUAGUUGGGAGGUAACGGCCCACCAAGGCUAUGACGGGUAGCUGGUCUGAGAGGACGACCAGUCACACUGGAACUGAGACACGGUCCAGACACCUACGGGUGGCAGCAGUCGAGAAUUUUUCUUCAAUGGGGGCAACCCUGAAGGAGCGACGCCGCGUGGAGGAUGAAGGCUUUCGGGUU
rnacentral:rRNA from 1 species